GGGUGCGAUCAUACCAGCGUUAAUGCAUCAGAUCCCAUCAGAACUCCGCAGUAAAGCGCGCUUGGGCUAGAGUAGUACUGGGAUGGGUGACCUCCCGGGAAGUCCUAGUGUUGCACACU
rfam:Picea glauca, whole genome shotgun sequence.